AACAAAAGAAGGUACACAUUGUACAACAGCUGAAAAUCUGCAGAAUUUAACUUGCACAAUAACAUACAAAAUUAAUAACUGCUUGCUUUGUGGUUAUGUCCAGAGCAGGCCACAGUCAUCAAUUUAGGUGAAGUCAGUUGGCGUAUGAAAGAAAAUUAUGUAAUAUCUCAUAAUGAGCAUAGCACAGUUUGGUUUGUUUUGGAGCAACAUGGGGGGAUGGUGAACUCUGGAUGACCUAAAAAAUAAUUUUUAAUAUUUCAGAAACCAAAGCUGCACAAACGAAAAUUUUAACGGCACAAACCUGCACUAACGGAGCACUAA